rnacentral:rRNA from 1 species
CAGCCGCCGCGGGAAUACGAAGGGGGCUAGCGUUGCUCGGAAUUACUGGGCGUAAAUGGCGCGUAGGCGGAUAGUUUAGUCAGAGGUGAAAGCCCAGGGCUCAACCUUGGAAUUGCCUUUGAUACUGGCUAUCUUGAGUUCGGGAGAGGUGAGUGGAGUGCCGAGUGUAGAGGUGAAAUGCGUAGAGAUCGGAAGGAACAUCUGUGGCGAAGGCGACUAUCUGGGCCAACACUGACACUGAGGCACGAAAGCGUGGGGAGCAAACAGGAUUAGAUACCCGUGUAGUCCCUGUCUCUUAUAA